CACGUAGGGUGCGAGCGUUGUCCGGAAUUAUUGGGCGUAAAGAGCUCGUAGGCGGUGUGUCGCGUCGGCCGUGAAAACCUGCAGCUUAACUGUGGGCUUGCGGUCGAUACGGGGCAUCACUGGAGUUCGGCAGGGGAGACUGGAAUUCCUGGUGUAGCGGUGAAAUGCGCAGAUAUCAGGAGGAACACCGGUGGGCGAAGGCGGGACUCUGGGCCGA
rnacentral:rRNA from 1 species